GCGUGAACGAUGAAGGCCUUAGGGUUGUAAAGUUCUUUCAGCGAGGAAGAUAAUGACGGUACUCGCAGAAGAAGCCCCGGCUAACUCCGUGCCAGCAGCCGCGGUAAUACGGAGGGGGCUAGCGUUGUUCGGAAUUACUGGGCGUAAAGCGCACGUAGGCGGAUCAGUCAGUUAGGGGUGAAAUCCCAGGGCUCAACCCUGGAACUGCCUUUAAUACUGCUGAUCUGGAGGUCGAGAGAGGUGAGUGGAAUUCCGAGUGUAGAGGUGAAAUUCGU
rnacentral:rRNA from 1 species